UUUAAAAUCUAUCUUUUCUAUUUAUUUAUGCUAGUUUCUUUUAUGUUCACAAUUAUUCACGAAAAGUUAUAAAAACAGACCACCAAAGACUAUAUAAAUGAAUCCCACGAUAUAUAGACUUUAUAACAAAUCCUGCAAUACCCAUCGAAGACAUAUCACACCCUUCAACAACACUACACGCACUACAAGACAAGGCUAGAAGCCUUACUCCAUCUUUAAGGAGUCAUUCCGCAUCAUUUUCGUAGGCAUGACAAACCCUAAUCAAAUAAAAAACAAGUAAAAACAGAGUCACCUCACUAGCAAGGGACAAAAUCCAUCGCCCCUCCAUGACCCUUAGACCACAUGAGAUGAGGCAGAUCGACGACGCCUCCAUGACCCUUAGACCACAUGAAAUGAGGCAGAUCGGCGGUGACGUCUGCUACGGCAACAAAAGUCCUUUCCCGGCAAUGGU
rnacentral:lncRNA from 1 species